rnacentral:lncRNA from 1 species
UAAUUCAGUCGGGACUCAUGAUAGAAGAACUCAAUCACAUAGGUAGCUGCACCGAGAGGUUCAUCUUCAUUUUUGAUGGGUUGCCACCAUAUACUAUUAGGUGUCACUGGUGGAUUUUGGGAGCAAUUAGAAUGAUAUUGAUGAUCGAUCAUUCUAAAUUAUCUGAAUCAGAAGAGUUCUGAUCCAUCGAAAGGAGUUUCGAUGAUGUCGAUGAUGAGAUCACGACAUGUCUCAUUACCAUAUAGAAAUGAACCUAACUGGGUCAUACAAACAAGAGUUAGGAUCUAGAUGUCAUCAAUUGAGCUAGCCCAGUUCGAUUGAUUUGGAUU